GAUCCCGCAAAUGUCACCGACGACCGGCGGCCAGCCACCGUGCGUGGUGGUUCCGGCGGUGGCUCCGGUGGGCUAUGGAGAUGAUUCAACUUCCAGAGGCUUCCUCAUAAAUUUUUGGAAUUUUUGAGACACAGAUAAACUUCGGGUGAUCGAGGUCAGCUAUUUUCUACAUCCAGCAGCCACAAUAGUCAUCGGUGUACUGCCACAGGAGGAGUUAUUUUACAGAGCAACCUGUUUUCUUCCUCGCAGGUUUAACGUCGAUUAUUUAAUUGUUUUACUAUCUUUUCUAAAUUUAAAAUCUAGAACUCCGCAUGUGUUAGUAAUAGUGUGGGCCUUGUUAGAAAUUGUGUUAAUUUAAAUUUUUCAGAUUAAUAAAUGAAGAUUUGUAUGGUA